AUUGAACGCUGGCGGCAGGCCUAACACAUGCAAGUCGAGCGGAAGCAGGGAGCUUGCUCCUGGAUUCAGCGGCGGACGGGCGAGUAAUGCCUAGGAAUCUGCCUGGUUGUGGGGGAUAACGUCCGGAAACGGGCGCUAAUACCGCAUACGCCCUGAGGGAGAACGUGGGGGAUCUUCGGACCUCACGCUAUCAGAUGAGCCUAGGUCGGAUUAGCUAGUUGGUGGGGUAAAGGCCUACCAAGGCGACGAUCCGUAACUGGUCUGAGAGGAUGAUCAGUCACACUGGAACUGAGACACGGUCCAGACUCCUACGGGAGGCAGCAGUGGGGAAUAUUGGACAAUGGGCGAAAGCCUGAUCCAGCCAUGCCGCGUGUGUGAAGAAGGUCUUCGGGUUGUAAAGCGCUUUUGUUUGGGAGGAAGAGCAGUAAGUUAAUACCUUGCUGUUUUGACGUUACCAAAAGAAUAAGCACCGGCUAACUUCGUG
rnacentral:rRNA from 1 species